rnacentral:rRNA from 1 species
AUUGAACGCUGGCGGCAGGCCUAACACAUGCAAGUCGAACGAGUGGCGGACGGGUGAGUAAUGUCUGGGAAACUGCCUGAUGGAGGGGGAUAACUACUGGAAACGGUAGCUAAUACCGCAUACCAUCAGAUGUGCCCAGAUGGGAUGAGAGUGUGGGUGGGGUAACGGCUCACCAAGGCGACGAUCCCUACCGGGUCUGAGAGGAUGACCAGCCACACUGGAACUGAGACACGGUCCAGACGCCUACGGGAGGCAGCAGUGGGGAAUAUUGCGCAAUGGGCGCAAGCCUGAUGCAGCCAUGCCGCGUGUAUGAAGAAGGCCUUCGGGUUGUAAAGUACUGUCAUCGGGGAGGCGGUAUCCGCAGAAGAAGCACCGGCUAACUCCGUGCCAGCCGCCGCGGUAAUAC